rnacentral:rRNA from 1 species
AUUGAACGCUGGCGGCAUGCCUUACACAUGCAAGUCGAACGGUAACAGGUCUUCGGAUGCUGACGAGUGGCGAACGGGUGAGUAAUACAUCGGAACGUGCCCGAGAGUGGGGGAUAACGAGGCGAAAGCUUUGCUAAUACCGCAUACGAUCACAGGAUGAAAGCAGGGGACCGAAAGGCCUUGCGCUCACGGAGCGGGCGAUGGCAGAUUAGGUAGUUGGUGGGAUAAAAGCUUACCAAGCCGACGAUCUGUAGCUGGUCUGAGAGGACGACCAGCCACACUGGGACUGAGACACGGCCCAGACUCCUACGGGAGGCAGCAGUGGGGAAUUUUGGACAAUGGGCGCAAGCCUGAUCCAGCCAUGCCGCGUGCAGGAUGAAGGCCUUCGGGUUGUAAACUGCUUUUGUACGGAACGAAAAGACUCUGGUUAAUACCUGGGGUCCAUGACGGUACCGUAAGAAUAAGCACCGGCUAACUACGUGCCAGCAGCCGCAGUAAGAC